GACGAACCGAGCGACCGUUGUUCGGAAUCACUGGGCUUAAAGGGCGCGUAGGCGGGCUGCCGCGUCCGGGGUGAAAUCAACCGGCUCAACCGGGGGACGGCCUCGGAUACGGGCGGCCUCGAGGGGGGUAGGGGCAUCUGGAACUGUGGGUGGAGCGGUGAAAUGCGUUGAGAUCCACAGGAACUCCGGUGGCGAAGGCGAGGUGCUGGACCCCAUCUGACGCUGAGGCGCGAAAGCCAGGGGAGCGAACGGG
rnacentral:rRNA from 1 species